UCCAUGCUUCCAAGAAAAGCAUCUAGAGAGAGAAGUAGUGCCCGUACCGCAAACCGACACAGGUAGAUGAGGAGAGAAUCCUAAGGCCGGCGGAAGAAUUGCAGUUAAGGAACUAGGCAAAUUGACCCCGUAAGUUCGCGAGAAGGGGUGCCUGCGAGAGCAGGCCGCAGAGAAUAGGCCCAAGCAACUGUUUAGCAAAAACACAGGUCUCUGCUAAAGCGCAAGCUGAUGUAUAGGGGCUGGCGCCUGCCCGGUGCUGGAAGGUUAAGGGGAACACUUAGCGCAAGCGAAGGUGUGAACUUAAGCCCCAGUAAACGGCGGCCGUAACAAUAACGGUCCUAAGGUAGCGAAAUUCCUUGUCAGGUAAGUUCUGACCCGCACGAAUGGCGUAAUGACUUGGGCACUGUCUCAACUGCAAAUCCGGCGAAGUUGUAGUGCGAGUGAAGAUGCUCGCUACCCGCGAUUGGACGGAAAGACCCCGUAGAGCUUUACUGCAGCUUAGCAUUGAAUUCCGGUAUUGUCUGUACAGGAUAGGUGGGAGACUGGGAAACUAGGGCGUCAGCCUUAGUGGAGUCAACCUUGGGAUACCACCCUGACAGUACUGGGGUUCUAACAGGACGCCAUGAAUCUGGUGACUGGACAUUGUUAGGUGGGCAGUUUGACUGGGGCGGUCGCCUCCUAAAAAGUAACGGAGGCGCCCAAAGGUUCCCUCAGAACGGUCGGAAAUCGUUCGUAGAGUGCAAAGGCAUAAGGGAGCCUGACUGCGAGACCUACAAGUCGAGCAGGGACGAAAGUCGGGCUUAGUGAUCCGGUGGUACCUCGUGGGAGGGCCAUCGCUCAACGGAUAAAAGCUACCUCGGGGAUAACAGGCUGAUCUCCCCCAAGAGUCCACAUCGACGGGGAGGUUUGGCACCUCGAUGUCGGCUCGUCGCAUCCUGGGGCUGUAGUAGGUCCCAAGGGUUGGGCUGUUCGCCCAUUAAAGCGGCACGCGAGCUGGGUUCAGAACGUCGUGAGACAGUUCGGUCCCUAUCCGUCGCGGGCGUAGGAAAUUUGAGAGGAGCUGUCCUUAGUACGAGAGGACCGGGAUGGACUGACCUCUGGUGCACCAGUUGUUCCGCCUGGAGCAUGGCUGGGUAGCUAAGUCGGGAAGGGAUAAACGCUGAAAGCAUCUAAGCGUGAAGCCUCCCUCAAGAUGAGAUUUCCCAUAGCAUAAGCUAGUAAGACCCCUUGAAGAACACAAGGUUGAUAGGUCAGAGGUGUAAGUGCGGUAACGUAUGUAGCUGACUGAUACUAAUAGGUCGAGGGCUUGACCAA
rnacentral:rRNA from 1 species